AUUAUAAAUAAAUACAUUAAGUAGCUAAGUAAAUAUGUCAUUUUAAUUCAAAGACAUGCAUUUGGAGUGUUUCAACCUUUCAUAUAUUGUUUAAAGCUAAAUUAGCUCUUUUGCCAUGUAUCCAUCUAAUAAGUUUCAUGUUUCUAAGAAAAGUAGUUGUAUGUUAUAUUCACAAUUUGUUUUAUUUUUCAUAACUUUUACCCAUCUUUGUCUAUAAAAACUGUCUUUUUCUUUAUUUCUUCUUUU
rnacentral:lncRNA from 1 species